GAUUAACGACAGGGGAGCGCACGUUUUCCGGCACCGGCAACGGGGCAGGACUACAGGGCGCUGAGAGUGCGAUACAUCGCAGACCCUCGAACCUGAUCCGGUUAGUACCGGCGCUAGGGAGUCGAGUUUCUCGGGGU
rnacentral:ncRNA from 2 species